rnacentral:rRNA from 1 species
AGCAGCCGCGGUAAUUCCAGCUCCAAUAGCGUAUAUUAAAGUUGUUGCAGUUAAAAAGCUCGUAGUUGAAUUUCGGGACCAAUCUGCCGGUCGUGCCUCCGGUACGCACUGGUUUUAUUGGUUUCUCCCUUCUGACGAACCAUGAUGUCAUUAAUUUGGUGUCAUGGGGAAUCAGGACUGUUACUUUGAAAAAAUUAGAGUGUUUAAAGCAGGCUCACGCUUGAAUACAUUAGCAUGGAAUAAUGAAAUAGGACGUUUGAUUCUAUUUUGUUGGUUUCUAGGAUCGACGUAAUGAUUAAUAGGGAUAGUUGGGGGCAUUAGUAUUCAAUUGUCAGAGGUGAAAUUCUUGGAUUUAUUGAAGACUAACUACUGCGAAAGCAUUUGCCAAGGAUGUUUUCAUUAAUCAAGAACGAAAGUUAGGGGAUCGAAGACGAUCAGAUACCGUCGUAGUCUUAACCAUAAACUAUGCCGACUAGGGAUCGGAUGAUGUUAAUUUUUUUAAUGACUCAUUCGGCGCCUU